UGCAAAGAGAACACAGACAUAUCUGGCUUGGUGACCUGGCUGUCCUGGAAAAGUCAGCUUCAUGUAUGAGUGUGCCCAUCCUCUGAACUUGAUUACUGACCACCUGCUUCCCACCGGCCCCCACCCCAGCCUGAUGACCCUCUGAGCUUCAUGAAUUGAUAAGCAAGUUACUCAUCAGAGUAAAUUUCACUUAAGCCCUUCAGGAUCUUGCAAUUCUGGGGAGGAAUAUGAACUGCUAAUCAGCCAUGCAAAGAUAACUUGGCUCUAUGAAUAUUUUAAUUUCCCAGUGCUAGUGGCAGUUGCUUUUUUUUUUUUUUUUUUUGAGACGGAGUCUUGCUCUGUCGCCCAGGCUGGAGUGCAGUGGUGCCAUCUCUGCUCACUGCAAGCUCCGCCUCCCGGGUUCACGCCAUUCUCCUGCCUCAGCCUCCGGAGUAGCUAGGACUUACAGGCGCCUGCCACCACGCCUGGCUAAUUUUUUGUAUUUUUAGUAGAGACGGGGUUUCACCGUGUUAGCCAGGAUGGUCUCCAUCUCCUGACCUCGUGAUCCACCCGCCUUGGCCUCCCAAAGCGCUGGGAUUACAGGCGUGAGCCACCGUGCCUGGCCUUUUUUUUUUUUUUUUGAGACAGUCUCGCUCUAUCACCUAGGCUGGACUGCAGUGGCGUGAUCUCUGCUCACUGCAACCUCUGCCUCCUGGGUUCAAGUGAUUCUCCUGCCUCAGCCUCCCAAGUAGCUGAGAGUACAGGUGCCCGCCACCACACCCAGCUAAUUUUUGUAUUUUUAGUAGAGCUGGGGUUUCACCAUGUUGGCCAGGAUAGUCUUGAUCUCUUGACCUCAUGAUCCGCCUGCCUCGGCCUCCCAAAGUGCUGGGAUUACAGGCGUGAGCCACUGUGCCCAGCCCCCCCCCCUUUUUUUUUUAAGCAUUUUCUCAGCAGACUAGCUAAGGACAAUAGAUGGCAUGUCCUGACACCCAUGGGGCACUCUGGGUGUUGGGGCAGAAACUUGAGAGGGAAUGAGCUUCUGCAUUGGUCCCUUUCCUGCUGAAGGUGUCUCCCAGUAGUGUCCAUCCCAUCCCAUUUCCAUCCCCAGUUCCUCUUACCCGGAAGCUGUUACAGCCCAGUCCGCUCUGGGCUCCAAUCCUGUCCAUCCUGCCCCCGAAGCAGCUGGAUCUCCGCAGGCUCCGAGGGGCAGUGAGCAGCGCCCUCAGCUUGCUUUUUAGGAGGGCAGAUCGAUCAGAGGAGUCCCAGGGGCCCCGCCCGAGGGCACCUCCAUCUCUCUGGGCUGGGCACCUCAGGGAGGGGGCUGAGAGCAGCCCCCGCUUCUUCAUUCGGCUCACUGAGCACUUGUGGGGGCACGACCUCAUCUUCUAAAGGCAUCUUUUCUUCCAAAUGGUCCAGCAAAUGGGAUUAGCUCU
rnacentral:lncRNA from 1 species